GUGGUUCCGGGGAUGCAGCCUCCCACUUGUGUGUGUUCGGGAGAGCGCCCCUCCACCCGUGUGUGUCUGGGGGUGCUGCCUCACGUGUGUCUGGGGGUAGGUGCACGUCUCCACCUGUGUGUGUUCCGGGGGUGCGGCCUCUCCACCUGUGUGUGUUCCGGGGGGGUGCGGCCUCUCCACCUGUGUGUGUUCCGGGGGGUGCAGCCUCUCCAUCUGUGUCCUUGGGGAGGGGAGGGUGCGGCCUUUCCAUCUCUGUGUCCUGUGCGGCCCUUCCAUCUCUGUGUCUGGGGGUUGUGGGCAUUCCAUCCUGUGUCUUGUCUGAGUCUUCUCUUGACAGCUGUGACCUGGAAGCCACGUCCAGGUGUGUCCAGAGUUGGUUCCUUCCAGUGGGUUCAUGGUCUCGCUGACUUCAAGAAUGGAGCCACGGACCUUAGCGCUAGCUACAGAAAAGUUCUCCAAGUCCCUACUCGACCCAGGAAGUCCAGCCGCUUCAGCUCAAGAAAUCUCUUGCAGCAGAAACAUGAGCAUCCGCUCACGCCGGUGGCUUCCCAUUUACUGUAAUCCCAGCACUGGAGGCCGAGGUAAG
rnacentral:lncRNA from 1 species